rnacentral:lncRNA from 1 species
AGAACCUAAGUGCGGGAUUGCUACCUGAUCGUUUUGGACUUCUCCAGAUUGAAGAUCAUAAAGCAAAACAAACAAACAAAAUGUUACUGUGCUAACAGGAAUAAUAGAAUCUGAUUAUCAUGAAGAGAUAGGAUUGCUGCCACCUGAUGGAGGAGACUCCUUGAGGUUCUCAUCAAGAUGGCGCUGUGAGCAGAUGUUGAACUCGCCUCCUCCCGCAAGCACAACCAGGUUACAACAAUUUUAGGAGGAAUCACCCUGGAUUGAAAACUGAAAACUGGAUGAAAAGAACCCCCACAACAAGGGACAGUCCUGACGAAAGCAGAAGAGGCAGUAACUCUGGCCAGAGAGGAAAAAAGCCACCUUUGGGAGCAGUGGAGCUUCUCAGCUGGCCAGGCGGGAGCCAACCUAAGGAUAUUCCGAUAGCAUCUCAAGAUGCCUAAGAGUCUCAUGCUACUAUACAUCGGAAGGUGGACGGACUUCCCCCAGGGAGGAGGUGGAAAUAGGUGAAAACUCUCCGACCCCCGACCCCCGGACAGCCUAGUUCCUGCAGGAGGCUCUCUUCCAGCAGACUCCCCCAUAGCAUCGCCACACACCAAGGGCGGGAGUGUGCACUCACAAGUGGAGCGAUGGUGGAAACAGGUGACAACAGCCCUACUCAAGCCCCCUGCGAUUACACCUAAGCCCAAGGGGAAUCCCCAGGGUCCCACACCCACUGGCAGGGAAGGCCUCCGCUCGCCAUUAGCAGGGAGGCCCCGUCCAGAAUCCAGAACAAAGGGCAGCUCCCGGUGGGUGGAUUCCCUGGCACGGCACCAGACUGCAAGCUGCUGCUGGGCCCAUGGUCUCCGGCACACUGGUCGGUGCAGGGGACGCCCGGACUUCCCGUAGACAUGCUUGGGGACACGGAGCUCCAGCACCAGGCUCAGCAGCCCAGGGUGAGGCUCCGGGGUCCCGCACCCCCCACCCCCGGCAGGGAAAGCCUCUGCUCGCCAUUAGCUGGGAGGUCCUGCCCAGAAUCCAGAACAAAGGGAAGC